rnacentral:lncRNA from 1 species
UUGAUUGAUGAAACCUUCUGUUGUUCCUUUCCAUCCAGAUGUUGUAACCUACUGCUGCAAACACCACACCUAGGAUGGUUUUUCUGGGGUUUCUGCUGUUAACAUUAGCAGUUAACCAUUGCACUUCUGUUUCCCACGUACAUGUCGUUCUUUGAUACCUCAACCAUUGUAACAUACCUUGCCACAGUGUUUUGGAGUAUAAGCAGUCAAAGCAUAAAUGGUCGUGUGUUUCUUCAGUGUCUCUUCCACAUAAAAUGCAGGAUUGAUUAAUGUGAAUUCCCCAUUUAGCUAAUCUGUCAACUGUUGC